GACGAACGCUGGCGGCGUGCUUAACACAUGCAAGUCGAACGGAAAGGCCCUGCUUUUGUGGGGUGCUCGAGUGGCGAACGGGUGAGUAACACGUGAGUAACCUGCCCUUGACUUUGGGAUAACUUCAGGAAACUGGGGCUAAUACCGGAUAGGAGCUCCUGCUGCAUGGUGGGGGUUGGAAAGUUUCGGCGGUUGGGGAUGGACUCGCGGCUUAUCAGCGUGUUGGUGGGGUAGUGGCUUACCAAGGCUUUGACGGGUAGCCGGCCUGAGAGGGUGACCGGCCACAUUGGGACUCAGAUACGGCCCAGACUCCUACGGGAGGCAGCAGUGGGGAAUAUUGCACAAUGGGCGGAAGCCUGAUGCAGCAACGCCGCGUGCGGGAUGACGGCCUUCGGGUUGUAAACCGCUUUCGCCUGUGACGAAGCGUGAGUGACGGUAAUGGGUAAAGAAGCACCGGCUAACUACGUG
rnacentral:rRNA from 1 species